AUUGCCCCAGUAACGGCGAGUGAAGCGGCAAGAGCUCAAAUUUGAAAGCUGGCUCCUUCGGGGUCCGCAUUGUAAUUUGUAGAGGAUGCUUCGGGAGCGGUCCCCAUCUAAGUGCCCUGGAACGGGACGUCAUAGAGGGUGAGAAUCCCGUAUGGGAUGGGGUGUCCGCGCCCGUGUGAAGCUCCUUCGACGAGUCGAGUUGUUUGGGAAUGCAGCUCUAAAUGGGUGGUAAAUUUCAUCUAAAGCUAAAUAUUGGCCGGAGACCGAUAGCGCACAAGUAGAGUGAUCGAAAGAUGAAAAGCACUUUGAAAAGAGAGUUAAAAAGCACGUGAAAUUGUUGAAAGGGAAGCGCUUGCGACCAGACUCGCUCGCGGGGUUCAGCCGGCAUUCGUGCCGGUGUACUUCCCCGCGGGCGGGCCAGCGUCGGUUUGGGCGGUCGGUCAAAGGCCCUCGGAAGGUAACGCCCCUAGGGGCGUCUUAUAGCCGAGGGUGCAAUGCGACCUGCCUAGACCGAGGAACGCGCUUCGGCUCGGACGCUGGCAUAAUGGUCGUAAACGACCCGUCUUGAAACACGGACCAAGGAGUCUAACAUCUACGCGAGUGUUCGGGUGUCAAACCCGUGCGCGAAGUGAAAGCGAACGGAGGUGGGAACCCUCACGGGUGCACCAUCGACCGAUCCUGAAGUCUUCGGAUGGAUUUGAGUAAGAGCGUAGCUGUUGGGACCCGAAAGAUGGUGAACUAUGCCUGAAUAGGGCGAAGCCAGAGGAAACUCUGGUGGAGGCUCGUAGCGGUUCUGACGUGCAAAUCGAUCGUCGAAUUUGGGUAUAGGGCGAAAGACUAAUC
rnacentral:rRNA from 1 species